UCGGGAAUUUUGGGCAAUGGGCGAAAGCCUGACCCAGCAACGCCGCGUGAAGGAUGAAGUAUUUCGGUAUGUAAACUUCGAAAGAAUAGGAAGAAUAAAUGACGGUACUAUUUGUAAGGUCCGGCUAACUACGUGCCAGCAGCCGCGGUAAUACGUAGGGACCAAGCGUUGUUCGGAUUUACUGGGCGUAAAGGGCGCGUAGGCGGUGUGUCAAGUCAGUUGUGAAAUAUCUCAGCUUAACUGAGAGGGUGCCAUUGAUACUGCAGGGCUUGAGUACAGAUGAGGUAGGCGGAAUUGACGGUGUAGCGGUGAAAUGCAUAGAUAUCGUCAAGAACACCGAUAGCGAAGGCAGCUUACCAAGCUGUAACUGACACUGAGGCACGAAAGUGUGGGGAUCAAACAGGAUUAGAUACCCGCGUAGUCCCUGAGCGGGCUGGCAAGGCGCAU
rnacentral:rRNA from 1 species